rnacentral:rRNA from 1 species
GACGAACCGUGCGAACGUUGUUCGGAAUCACUGGGCUUAAAGGGCGCGUAGGCGGCUCGCCAAGUCAGGGGGUGAAAUACUUCAGCUUAACUGGAGAAGUGCCCUUGAUACUGGCGGGCUCGAGGGAGGUAGGGGUCUGUGGAACUUCUGGUGGAGCGGUGAAAUGCGUUGAUAUCAGAAGGAACACCAGUGGCGAAGGCGGUUGCCUGGAGCUUUGCUGACGCUGAUGCGCGAAAGCGUGGGGAGCGAUCCGG